ACGGGAGGCAGCAGUGAGGAAUAUUGGUCAAUGGACGGAAGUCUGAACCAGCCAAGUCGCGUGAAGGAAGACGGUUCUAUGGAUUGUAAACUUCUUUUGCUCGAGGGUAAAACGCGGUACGUGUACCGCCUUGCAAGUAUCGAGUGAAUAAGCAUCGGCUAACUCCGUGCCAGCAGCCGCGGUAAUACGGGGGAUGCGAGCGUUAUCCGGAUUUAUUGGGUUUAAAGGGUGCGUAGGCGGGUUGUUAAGUCAGUGGUGAAAGUUUGCGGCUCAACCGUAAAAUUGCCAUUGAAACUGGCGACCUUGAGUGUAAACGAGGUAGGCGGAAUAUGACGUGUAGCGGUGAAAUGCUUAGAUAUGUCAUAGAACCCCGAUUGCGAAGGCAGCUUACCAGCAUACAACUGACGCUGAGGCACGAAAGCGUGGGUAUCAAACAGGAUUAGAUACCCUGGUA
rnacentral:rRNA from 1 species